AUUGAACGCUGGCGGCAUGCCUUACACAUGCAAGUCGAACGGCAGCACGGGAGCAAUCCUGGUGGCGAGUGGCGAACGGGUGAGUAAUAUAUCGGAACGUGCCCAGUCGUGGGGGAUAACGCAGCGAAAGCUGUGCUAAUACCGCAUGCGAUCUCUGGAUGAAAGCGGGGGACUCGCAAAGGCCUCGCGCGAUUGGAGCGGCCGAGAUCAGAUUAGCUAGUUGGUGGGGUAAAGGCGCACCAAGGCGACGAUCUGUAGCUGGUCUGAGAGGACGAACAGCCACACUGGAACGGAGAAACGGUCCAGACUCCUACGGGAGGCAGCAGUGGGGAAUUUUGGACAAUGGGCGCAAGCCUGAUCCAGCAAUGCCGCGUGCAGGAUGAAGGCCUUCGGGUUGUAAACUGCUUUUGUACGGAACGAAACGGUUUGCCCUAAUACGGUGGACUAAUGACGGUACCGUAAGAAUAAGCACCGGCUAACUACGUGCCAGCAGCCGCCGUAAUAC
rnacentral:rRNA from 1 species